rnacentral:rRNA from 1 species
GCAUAUCAAUAAGCGGAGGAAAAGAAACCAACAGGGAUUGCCCUAGUAACGGCGAGUGAAGCGGCAACAGCUCAAAUUUGAAAUCUGGCCCCUUCGGGGUCCGAGUUGUAAUUUGUAGAGGGUGCUUUGGCGUUGGCUGUGGUCUAAGUUCCUUGGAACAGGACGUCGCAGAGGGUGAGAAUCCCGUAUGUGGCCGCCAGCCUCCGCCGUGUAAAGCCCCUUCGACGAGUCGAGUUGUUUGGGAAUGCAGCUCUAAAUGGGAGGUAAAUUUCUUCUAAAGCUAAAUAUUGGCCAGAGACCGAUAGCGCACAAGUAGAGUGAUCGAAAGAUGAAAAGCACUUUGGAAAGAGAGUCAAAAAGCACGUGAAAUUGUUGAAAGGGAAGCGCUUGCAGCCAGACUUGCCCGCAGUUGCUCAUCCAGGCUCGCGCCUGGUGCACUCUUCUGCGGGCAGGCCAGCAUCAGUCCGGGCGGUUGGACAAUGGCCCGCAUAACGUUCCUCUCCUCGGGGAGGCCUUAUAGAUGCGGGUGCGAUACAGCCAGCCCGGAUUGAGGUCCGCGCAUCUGCUAGGAUGCUGGCGUAAUGGCUGUAAGCGGCCCGUCUUGAAACACGGACCAAGGAGUCUAACAUCUAUGCGAGUGUUUGGGUGUCAAGCCCGAGCGCGCAAUGAAAGUGAACGGAGGUGGGAACCCCUCGGGGCGCACCAUCGACCGAUCCUGAUGUCUUCGGAUGGAUUUGAGUAGGAGCAUAGCUGUUGGGACCCGAAAGAUGGUGAACUAUGCCUGAAUAGGGUGAAGCCAGAGGAAACUCUGGUGGAGGCUCGCAGCGGUUCUGACGUGCAAAUCGAUCGUCAAAUUUGGGCAUAGGGGCGAAAGACUAAUCGAACUAUCUAGUAGCUGGUUCCUGCCGAAGU